UGGAGGAAGUGCUGCAGACUGUGGCUGGGCCCUGUCACAGGGAGCAACUGGGGCUGUGCAGAGGGGCGGUUGUGUGGCCCUCAGCAGAGGUGGGGCUUAGGGACCUGGGCAUCCUGAGAAGAUGAUGAGGGAGGACGGUACUCAGAAGCCCAGCCCAGCCCAGACUGCCUGACAUGCUGUGGGAUCCGCGAGCCCCGGGGGUAGCUGGUGAGGAGCCAAGGCCCAGGUCAUCCCCUCCUUAAGCCUGAGGUGGGAGGCGGACAGCAGCCCUGAUGCGGGACAGGGGACACAGGUUCGAGCCCUGGUCUGGGAAGAUCCCACAUGCCGCGGAGCAACUAGGCCCGUGAGCCACAACUACUGAGCCUGCGCGUCUGGAGCCUGUGCUCCGCAGCAAGAGAGGCCGUGACAGUGAGAGGCCCGCGCACCGCGAUGAAGAGUGGCCCCCGCUUGCUGCAACCAGAGAAAGCCCUCGCACAGAAACGAAGA